rnacentral:lncRNA from 10 species
CAUCAUGCUCAGCUAAUUUUUUGUAUUUUUAGUAGAGACGAGGUUUCACCGUGUUAGCCAGGAUGGUGUCGAUAUCCUGACCUCCUGAUCCACCCGCCAUGGCUUCCCAAAGUGCUGGGAUUACAGGCAUGAGCCACCACGCCCGGCCAAUAUAUUGGUUUCUUUAUGAAAAUUAUACUGGAUCUGUUACAGCUUUUGUCUGGUCCUCUGAGCCCCAGUGAGAGUUUCCUGAGGUACCUCACCCUUCCACAAGACAACAGGCUUGCCAUUGAUCUGCAACAAACGGCGGUUGUUGUCAUGGCCCAUUUAGACCGUCUGGCUACACCCUGUAGAUGCCUCCUCUGUGUAGCUCUCCGACGUCUCAUAAGAGUCAUUUUUUACAGGUCAGAACUGUAGAAAUAAUGAGAAAGUGACACUUGUACGCAUAGCUGAUUUGGAGAACCAUAAUAACGAUGGAGGCUUCUGGACUGUGAUUGACGGGAAAGUGUAUGAUAUAAAGGACUUCCAGACACAGUCGUUAACAGAAAAUAGUAUUCUUGCUCAGUUUGCAGGGGAAGACCCAGUGGUAGCUUUGGAAG